GACGAACGCUGGCGGCGUGCUUAACACAUGCAAGUCGAACGGAAAGGCCCUGCUUUUGUGGGGUGCUCGAGUGGCGAACGGGUGAGUAACACGUGAGUAACCUGCCCUUGACUUUGGGAUAACUUCAGGCAACUGGGGCUAAUACCGGCUAGGAGCUCCUGCUGCAUGGUGGGGGUUGGAAAGUUUCGGCGGUUGGGGAUGGACUCGCGGCUUAUCAGCUUGUUGGGGGGGUAGUGGCUUACCAAGGCUUUGACGGGUAGCCGGCCUGGGAGGGUGAGCGGCCACAUUGGGACUGAGAUAAGGCCCAGACUCGUACGGGAGGCAACAGAGGAGAAUAUUGCACAAUGGGCGGAAGCCAGAUGCGGCAACGCCGCGUGCGGGAAGACGGCCUUCGGGUUGUAAACCGCUGUCGCCUGUGACGAAGCGUGAGUGACGGUAAUGGGUAAAUAAGCACCGGCUAACUACGUG
rnacentral:rRNA from 1 species